GUGGUAGUGGCCAUUUUGUUUAGGCUGCGUGGAAGCCUUCUGCACCGUUGUCACCCUGGAGCCGCUGGAAGGAGAGAAUGCACUAUUUGGUGGGGACCGAGAUGGGUAUAUUCCGAAAAACUUGAAAAUCAUAAGAUUUAUCAGGAGCGGAGCCUUGCUGCAUCCCCACAGUAUGAUGGUCAGGCCCCGCCCCCUAGUAUUUUAUUUGGAGGACAAUUUCAGGAGAGGAAUCCGGGUGCGGGGAGGGAAAGCUGUUCACAGUUUAAUUGAUUUUUUUUCCUAAAGAAGUAU